rnacentral:snRNA from 1 species
GGAAGACUCUGAGUUUUAAG